GGGUGGUAAGGGGUGGUCUUAAGUCCCUUAAUCCCUAAUAAUUUAUAAACCUGCUGCAAUAGUUUGGACAAAAAGUUUGUCCCACAAUCUGUGAGAAUUUCUCUUGGUAUUCCUACUCUAGAGAAAAACUGCAGGAGACAAUUAGCAACAUGUCGGGCUUUAAUGGAUCUGAGAGGAAAAGCUUCAGGGUACCGUGUAGCAUAGUCACAUAUCACCAAUAUAUAACGGUAACCUGUCGAGCUCCUUUCUAAUGGGCCCACAAUAUCCAUGCCGAGCCUUUCAAAAGGUGUUUCAAUAAUUGGCAGCGGUUGUAGCCGGGCUCGUGCUACUCCUCUGCCUGAAGUCAACUGACAUUUUUCACAGGAACUACAAAAUUUAGAAAUCUGGGUAUACAUUCCUGGCCAAACAAACCGGCUACUGAUUCUACUCAGCGUUUUAUGAAAAGCCAUAUGACCUGCCCACGGAAUUGAGUGGCCCAGCUCCAUAACUUUGUGCCUGAACUGUUGUGGAAGGGCUAAUGUUUUACACUGUCCCUUCUUCUGAUAUAAAAUACCUCCCUUGAUUAUGUACACCGCAUCUUCCAGGAAGUCUAACCGGCGCUGAUUAGUUCCUCCCAAUCCAGUUACUUUUUCAAACCAAGGUUUUAAAGUAGGAUCAUCUCUCUGUAGUGCACCUAAAUCUGAGGGAAUGUCAAACUCAAACAAGUUAUUUGGCUUAGACAACUGUUCUAUCCCUUCAUCACCUGAGCCUUUGAAUUUCUCCCUUCUUUUCUGAGCUUUUGACUUUUUAGUUUUUCCUAGCCUUGUUUCCAGAGACUCCCCAAAAAAGGGCAGCUCUUCCAACACCGUCUUUGAACUUUGAGCUCUUGUGACUACAUUGCAAGGUUUCAAUGGUUCUACUGGUAUAUCAGAUGUAGGACAUAAAUCCCCUGUAUCUCUGUUGGUAAGCACUUGGGGUUCAUAGUCUGACUGGUGAAUAAGGUCAAAGAGAGUGGGAAUAUCAUUACCAAGUAUAACUGAGUAUGGCAAAGAGGGAACUACAGCUACUUGUACCAGGUAUGUUUGACCUCCCACUGUCAAAUACACCUCAGCACUAGGGUAGACAUGUUCAUCUCCAUGUACACAGCUUAUUUUAACCCCCACCCCACUUAGCUUUUCUUCUGAGAGUAAGCUAGCACGCACUAGAGACUGGAAGCACCCAGAAUCAAGCAAAGCUUCUUCUUUCUGCCCAUUAACUAGAACAGAAACAGUGCACACUUUCUUUUCUACAGCCUCAAUAGCUGGUCUUGGAACUGAACACAAAAGUGAUGGCUUUGAUUUAAGGGUGGGGCAGAAGUGUUGUGUAUGGCCAAAGUCAUUACAGUUGUAACAUCUAAUAUCUUUGACUGAAGACUUGGGAAAUGACUUUUUAACAUUGGGAGGUCUUUGGGAAGGGAACUGCUUUGAACUAGAAACAUUUCUAGUCUGACUUUGACCAGAGCCCUGUUCACCCCCAGUGGACUUACUUGAUAGGGCAUAGUGAGUCUCUCGGCCAAAAUAGGUGCUCUUGCUCCCCUUCCUGGCUGAUGUGAAGACCUCCGCAAGAGCAGCUGCUUCUUUUGCCGUCUUCGGGUCACGCUCACGUAUCCAGAUCUCCAACUCUGGAUUAACCAUUCUUAGAAACUGCUCCAGAAUUAUCUGCUCAGAUAUUUCUUGCACAGUAAAUUUAUCAGGUUUAAUCCAUCUUGAAAACAAGUCUUUCAAUCGCACAUAAAGUUCACGUGGCGUCUCACCUGGUUCAAUCUUCAGGCAUCUGAAGCGGCGUCGAUAAGUGUCAGCAGUGAUUUCAUAUUUUGCCAGAAUUGCCUCUUUCACGUUGUCAUAGUUCUCAGAGUCAGCCAUAUCCAUUAGAACAUAGGCUGUGCGGGCCUUGCCUGUCAGCAGAGGAACAAGACGGACCGCCCACUCAUCUCUAGACCAACGACACACCUGGGCCAUCCUCUCGAACGUCAUCAGAAAAUGCUCAAUGUCGUCAUCCGUGGAUAAGGGAAGAAAUCUUGGUUCAAUUUUGGACCUGGAACCAUGAGCUACCUGGACAUCACCACCAUCUGAUUCUUCUUCAUGUGCUUCAGCUGUUGUGGGUUGAACAUGUGCUUCUGAUACAUCAGGUCUUUCAAGUACAGCAUGCACUUGAAGCUGCAUUUGUUGAAAUUGAUGCUGUAUGCUUUUCCACCUUUGCUCCUGGCGGGAAAAAUCUUUAUCAAUCUUCAGGUCUCUAGCCGCUUGAGACCGCAUAAUAGCUUUCACCAACACUGUCAGUUCCUCCAACUUAUCUUCAGGGUUGGUCGCUGCCAUGGUCUCCAUUUCAGAGGAAGCUCCAGCUCCUUCAUCAGGCUCUCCCUCGUGGCCUAGCUUUUUACCACCUCUGGUCAUCAUCUUCUCACUGUGGCAUGAAUGGCACACUUCUGACACCACUUGUAACAAGGUAGCCGUUCGCGGUAGGAUUUUACAGUGACGAUGAAGCGUUGAGGCAGAGUCAGGUGGAAAACAGCAGUGGUUUUAUUCUUCACACAACAUCAACCAACACUUCACAGGUGAAAACUGCAGUCUUAAAUAGUCCCAGCUGUGACGGAUCAAACCACCUUUAAUUCACAGGGGAAUCUCAAUUCAUCAAUAUCCACUUAUUUAAUUAAAAUACCUUUUACUAAAUAUAAACAUUUCCAUUUACUUUUUAUAAAUAUUUUAUGUUUUAUCAUUACACCAAAUGAAACACCACAAAACCCAUAAACAAUUCCCCCCCCCACACUUUUCAAUGGCCUCUCCCGGAGACUAUAUAUGGUGUCUGGACCCCCGGGGCAGUAUUUGUCCAAACACCCUGGAGAGGACACAGAAAAGACAGGCAACCACCUCACUCGUCAAUGAGGAGCAGCUGUGCAGAGCCCAGAACAAAAGGCUACAUGCUAAUGUCUAAAAAUACUCAAUAAAUACAAUUAAAACUU